CAACUGCGGCUGAAGGCAGCGCCAUUUUGGACGUGUAGUGGCUGCGGGCUUGGGGAAGGUCGGGUAGUGCUGCUGGCUUGACCAUCUCGUGGUUUUGUUUGGCUUUCUCCUUUUCCAGUACCAUCUCCAAACGGAGGCACGGAGCCGCAGACAUAUCUUUAGGGUUGGCUGCGGGCCCGAGGCGAAGCCCUCCGAUGAUGUUGAGGGGAAACCUGAAGCAAGUCAGAAUUGAGAAAAACCCAGCCCGCCUGCGCGCUCUUGAAUCGGCGGCAGGGGAGAGUGAGCCGGCGGCCGCCAUGGCGCUCGUGCUGGCUGGGGAGACCGCUCCACCCACUCCUGCUCCAGCGGAGGAGCGCCCGGACGAGGAGGUGGGCUUCACCAUCGAUAUCAAGAGCUUCCUUAAGCCGGGCGAGAAGACGUACACGCAGCGCUGCCGCCUCUUCGUGGGCAAUCUGCCUACCGAUAUCACGGAGGAGGACUUCAAGCGGCUCUUCGAGCGUUAUGGUGAGCCUAGUGAAGUCUUCAUCAACCGCGACCGCGGUUUCGGCUUCAUCCGCCUGGAAUCCAGAACGCUGGCUGAAAUUGCAAAAGCAGAGCUUGAUGGCACCAUUUUGAAGAGCAGACCUCUCCGGAUUCGUUUUGCUACACAUGGAGCAGCCCUGACUGUCAAGAACCUUUCUCCAGUUGUUUCCAAUGAGCUGCUAGAGCAAGCAUUUUCCCAGUUUGGUCCAGUAGAGAAAGCCGUUGUGGUUGUGGAUGAUCGUGGUAGAGCUACAGGAAAAGGUUUUGUAGAAUUUGCAGCAAAACCUCCUGCACGAAAGGCUCUGGAAAGAUGUGGUGAUGGGGCGUUCUUGCUAACAACGACCCCACGGCCAGUCAUUGUGGAGCCAAUGGAGCAAUUUGAUGAUGAAGAUGGCUUGCCAGAGAAGCUAAUGCAGAAAACUCAACAAUAUCAUAAGGAACGAGAACAACCACCACGUUUUGCUCAGCCUGGGACAUUUGAGUUUGAGUAUGCAUCUCGAUGGAAGGCUCUUGAUGAAAUGGAGAAGCAGCAGCGUGAGCAGGUUGACAGAAACAUCAGAGAAGCCAAAGAGAAGCUAGAGGCAGAAAUGGAAGCAGCCAGGCAUGAACACCAGUUAAUGCUGAUGAGGCAAGAUCUCAUGAGGCGUCAAGAAGAACUGAGACGCCUGGAAGAACUCAGGAACCAAGAGCUGCAAAAACGAAAGCAAAUACAACUGAGACAUGAAGAAGAGCAUCGUCGUCGUGAAGAAGAAAUGAUUCGACACAGAGAACAAGAGGAACUGAGGCGACAGCAAGAAGGCUUUAAGCCAAAUUAUAUGGAAAAUACUGAUACCACUUGCAAAGGAGUGCUGUGCCUGAGAGAGAUGGCUCCUGGAGUAUGGGGGAUGACCCAGCAUAUGGAUCCUGGUAGCUGUUCUUUCAGUUCUCUCCCCAGAGCCACAAGCUGCAGAUUUUCUUCAUGCAUCUCUAGUCCACUCUGCCCUCCUUCUGUCGGAGCCCAGGGAGGAUAAAAACAUGGAUAAAGCUACCUGAAAUUUGACGUCCAGCACAAAUCAAGUUUAGAGAUGAGGAUGUACUGGAGUUGUUUCCUUUCAGGUGUGGCCUCAGACCAGGAGUGUGAGCAUACCUGAGUUUCUCAGAAGUGCUGAAUCCCAGGACACACAGUAGACUGAGUCAGACUGCCUGUUUCAACAAGACUGAGAGGAUUGGCAUGAGACUAAGGACCAUUGAUAUAAAACUGAAGCAAAAAGCUGUGAACUAACUGCUUUUCAGGGAGUCAGGCCACAGUGUAAUGCCUCCCAUUUGUGAUGACUGGCUUAGUCGUGAGCUCGCUUAUGUCCAAGAUUAAGUUCAGGUAUGUGUUCUGUGUCAUACAUAUUUUAUACAAGGAUAUUGCUUUGAUUUUCAGAGAAAUCACUAUCCACACUUUGUACAUAUAAGAAACCAGAACUUUCAGCACUUUCCACUCAGGGACAAGUACUUCACCUGCUAUAGAGAAGCCCUAGUUCUGAGCAAAACAACUGUAUUAAAACUGUGUGACUCAUGUUCCUAAUACACACUGUUCACAGUUUACUAGCAUACCUGUCACAAGGCAGGUAGAAGCUGACACAGACAAGGUUUUACUGAUUUUAAACCUUUAUGUUCCCUGUUUGUCAAAAUAACUCGCCCAUUUUCACAUUCUGCCCUUGCUGACUUCACAGAGCUUUCUUAUUUCUCUGCCUCAACUCCUAAAGGAAUUGUGCUCAGAUUCUCUAUUUGCUUUCUACCACCCUAGAAAGCCAUGCCUCCUGACAAAUAGUGUAUGCUCACUUAAUAUGUUCUUGUACAGUUGUAGGAUUAUCUUAGGGUAGGAUUUGGACAUAAUGGAAAUUUUCUUAAAAAGCCCAUUUCUCUUAUAUGUGUUCCUUUUCUGUGCACUGUUGCUAACCCAAAUCUCAUUAACUGUUUUCUAGAAAGCUAUGAAUUUGCAUACAGUACUAGUACAAAAUUCAAUCUAGUUGAAGGAGUCCAACGCCAGCCACCAUUUAGCUGAAAAUCUAUAAUACACAUUGCAUCUCAAAACAAGACGUGAAGAUCCAAGUCACAUUCUAAGCAUGGUGGAUGAGGAUAAGAAGCUCUUCCUGCCCAAGACUGUAUAGUCCUAUACUCCCUGUUAUAUGAACAAUAAAUGCCUAACUUUUGUUAGCUAA